rnacentral:rRNA from 1 species
GAUGAACGCUGGCGGCGUGCUUAACACAUGCAAGUCGAACGAUGAAGCCCAGCUUGCUGGGUGGAUUAGUGGCGAACGGGUGAGUAACACGUGAGUAACCUGCCCUUAACUCUGGGAUAAGCCUGGGAAACUGGGUCUAAUACCGGAUAGGAGCGUCCACCGCAUGGAGGGUGUUGGAAAGAUUUAUCGGUUUUGGAUGGACUCGCGGCCUAUCAGCUUGUUGGUGAGGUAAUGGCUCACCAAGGCGACGACGGGUAGCCGGCCUGGGAGGGUGACCGGCCACACUGGGACUGAGACACGGCCCAGACUCCUACGGGAGGCAGAAGUGGGGAAUAUUGCACAAUGGGCGCAAGCCUGAUGCAGCGACGCCGCGUGCGGGAUGACGGCCUUCGGGUUGUAAACCUCUUUCAGUAGGGAAGAAGCGAAAGUGACGGUACCUGCAGAAGAAGCACCGGCUAACUACGUG